rnacentral:rRNA from 1 species
GUGGGGAAUCUUCCGCAAUGGACGAAAGUCUGACGGAGCAACGCCGCGUGAGUGAUGAAGGUCUUCGGAUUGUAAAGCUCUGUUAAUCGGGACGAAAGAGCCUAGUGUGAAUAAUGCUAGGAAGUGACGGUACCGGAAUAGAAAGCCACGGCUAACUACGUGCCAGCAGCCGCGGUAAUACGUAGGUGGCAAGCGUUGUCCGGAAUUAUUGGGCGUAAAGCGCGCGCAGGCGGAUCUGCCAGUCUGUCUUAAAAGUUCGGGGCUUAACACCGUGAUGGGAUGGAAACUACAGAUCUAGAGUAUCGGAGAGGAAAGUGGAAUUCCUAGUGUAGCGGUGAAAUGCGUAGAUAUUAGGAAGAACACCAGUGGCGAAGGCGACUUUCUGGACGAAAACUGACGCUGAGGCGCGAAAGCCAGGGGAGCGAACGGGAUUAGAAACCCGGGUAGUCC